AACGAACGCUGGCGGCGUGGAUAAGACAUGCAAGUUGAACGCUAAUUUCGGUGUAGCAAUACAUCGGAGUUGGAGUAGCGCAAGGGUGCGUAACACGUGGGUAAUUUGCCGUGAAGUUGGGGAUAACUCGCUGAAAGGCGAGCUAAUACCGAAUGUGAAGUUUGGGUGGCAUCACCUGACCUUUAAAGCUGGGAUCGUAAGACCUGGCGCUUAUGAUAA
rnacentral:rRNA from 1 species